UGCAUUUAUUACAAUGCUUCUCUUUUAAUAUAUAAGGGAUAUAUAUAUAUAUAUAUACACAUAUAUAAGUUUCUUUUCUUUUUUUAACAUGAAACAAUGAAUAUAUUACUCAAAUUAAACGUGAACCGGAUAGUCAAAUCGUACUAAAACAACCAACAAAGUACAUAUAUCUAUGAAUCUGUGCUAAUGAGUUUUCUGCUCGGGGAUGGUAUCCAAAUUAGAACUCCUAAGAUUCUUGUUUCCAAAUCGCUAGCUCCUUUAACUUUGUCGAAAAGUUUAAACAUGUUCUUGGAUCUUGAAUAAUCCAGAUCAAGUCUUUACAAUCAACUUCAAAACGCUGACAUGUUGAGUGCUGCAACAUAUAUAUGUUGUCAAUAAUAGUGUUUAAUGACGACAAUCUUCUCCUCUGAUUUCUGGUUCCUAAUAGUUGAAUCAUCCAUGAUAAUCCAUGUUUGUGUAAACACUAAAAAAGCAAAACAAGAACGGAAUUACCGACGACGAGCAUUUCAUCAUAAAUUACUGAGGAAUCACCGAGGAAAUACCAAAAAAUGCAAAUAGAGCAUUCGUCGGGAUUUUGUCUGUAAUUACCAACUAUUUUUUAUGAAAGAAAAAUCGUUGGGAAUCACUGGCGAAAUUCUAACGAAAUGAUCUGGCGGUGUAAAUAAAAUGCAUAAAAUCUAUGGUUGGUUAUUUAGGAGUUGGGAUAGGGUUGGUUAGAUAGGUUUUAGUUAGGAUAGUGUGUUUAUUAAGGUCACAAACCCUAGAAAUGAUCCACAUAAAAAAAUAGGUUUUAGUUAGGAUAGUGUGUUUAGAUAUUGUCGGGUUGAAGAUCUAGGGUUGGUUAUUUAGGAGUUGGGUUCAGCUAAAAUUUAGGUUCUAUAGAGACGGUUCCUUUUUUAUACUGUGGAUUUUUAAAGUGGGUAUUGUUGCAGCUAUGGAGGCGCACAUGCAGAUGAAAAUGACGUUGUUUGAUGGAGACGACCAUGAGGUUUGGAUUAUAAAGAAGAGGAAUCUUUUGAUGGCUCGUGACGUAUGGAAUGUUAUAAAGAGUGGAUUUUCGGAAGAAAACACAAAUCACCAAAUUAUUGGAUUCUGUUACGAGCCAAAAAGAUCAGAGAAUCAAGGAUAUGACGGCUCUUCAUAUGCUGCAAAUGUCUGUAACAGACCCGAUCUUUCUUCAGAUAGGUAGAGCAACAUCGUCCAAGCAAGCAUGGGAGAUUCUCAGAGCGGAAUUCGGAGAGACCAAUGAGAUUCAGGAUUUGAAACUGACCUACCUUAAGACCAAAUUUGACGAAAUGAUGCUGGAGAAGGAAGAAAGCUUUGGGGAAUAUAUUAAAAAGAUGAUGGAGCUUGUGAACCAGCUUAAGUUCUACGGGUCUAACAUGUCUGAUCAGGGCCGGCUCAUGUGGGAGGGCCAGCAGUAUACUCGCCCAGGACCCACCUAAAAUCAAGCAAAUUUAGUGAUAUAAAGGGGCCUAAUAUUUUUUUUUCUCAACAACAACGGUCUAAUUUUUAUUUUUUUUCACUUUCAAUUUCAUAUUGACAUAAUAUUUUAAAAAUAUAAUAGUCUAAAUUUUUUUAAAAAAACAAAUUAAUAAAUUUAGAUAAGUUUUUCUAUAUAUUUAUUUAAUAAUAAUAUUUAAUUAAACUAAUUAUAGGUCUAAAAUUACUUUUUUGCCUAAAAGCCAUGUAUCUGAUCAACAAGUCAUCCGUGAGAUUCUUAGCAGCUUGCCCCCAAAGUUUAAUGGUAAUAUAAACAACAUGCGUGGUGAGAGGAUUGCACUCAAUAAAGUUGUUUACCUCUUGCCAGAUAAAACGAAUGUCAACUUAGGUUUAAGAUCAUCUCCAAUGUAAACCUAUUUUUUUCUAUAUUCUCACAACAAUAGAGUAAACCGUUGGGAUAAAACUUACCCUAUAAUAGAGUUAUUUUAUUUUUGUGAAAAUUAUAAAGGAAAAAAUAGGUUUGGGUUGGAGAUACCCCGAGAAUCAUGAAGAAGAGAGGAAGACAAUAGAGAGCUCUUUCUCUACCUAUGCUGUUUGUUUCUUCUAAUGAAAACAUUUUAGGAAGAAGUAAGAUUAAAAUGUUGCUGCUUUGCAGUUUUAAAGAGUAAGAUGUGUUGUUCGUUUGAUGCUCAACAAAACAACUCACGAAAUGUUCUAUUUUGGUAGUUUCUUUGGCUUUCAAAUCAUAAUAUUAAAUUUUAGAAAGGUGUCUUCUUGAGUUAUAAAAAAAAAGGUUAUAAAAUGUUUGAAAUAUGAAAACAGGGAUUCAGACAGAGACUCGACACCAGUAUUCGAUUCUUGUAGAGACAAAACAGAGAGAAAAGUACCUUUGAACAGUGUUCGUUGGGUCAUACAAAACUACUUGUAUUACAGUAAAUUACAUUCAAAAUUGAACCAAGAUUAAACCGGUCGGUACGAAUCGGCUAAACGAAUCUAACCUAUACUAAAAGGGCAAUAAUAAGCCCUUUUAAGCUGUCCAGCUCGGACUAUAAAAUCAGCCAAUGGUGGAGCAGCAUUCUUCCACGUCAUUAAUAGUUUUUUGUUUGGGCUUCUGUUGUUUUUGGCCUGUCUGAUCUGUGGGCUAUAUAGUCCAAUCUGCAAUUGAUGGCCGACGAAACCUAAUUUCGUUCUUCACUUUUCGACUUCCAUCUCUUACCUCUUCAAUUUCUCUUCUCUCCAAAUCCGUUUCGAGGAGUAAUUUCACCGUUGACGUUCCCACUUUUUUCUCUGCCUUCUUCGUCGGUUGGCUCUCAUUCUAUAUAAGCAGAUGAUUAGCGGGGGAUUGAGUAAGGAGGAUUAGGAUGCUCUGGUCGCCGGAAGUUGCAGGGAUAUCCGUAAAAUCCAUUAGAUUCGUCUUUCGGCCAUCAUAGAAGAAAGGUUCUUUUUUUUCUUACGAUCGUUCUCGAAUAUGAUAUUAAGUAGUUAGGAUUAUAAAUGUAUCCAUUCUUUGCUUAUCCAGCGGAAUCCCCACCUUCGGCAGCGUCGUAUAUUAUUGAAUAAACUUCAAAAACUGUUGUUUUUAGGAUAAAUAUGCUAUGUUCUCAUCUGAAAUCAACACCAUGUUUCUUUUCUUAAUGAUUUGAUGCAUUCAUGCACAUGCUGUAGGUUAUUGGUGCUGUGAUUCUACGAAGAUCUGAGAGAACGAGAAUCAAGAUUGUUCCAAAGACCAACCAUAGGAAUCAGGGGAUUAAAAAAAUUCCCCGCACGAAGUCUUUCUCUAACAAGGUUUUCUUUCUACAUAUUUUUCUUAUUUAAUCACAAAUUAAGGUGUGGAUUCCUAUUAAUUUUGUUUGUAUAGUAUUUUAAGAAAAAUAUAUAUCCUAUGUCGUUAGUCUUCACUUUUGCUGUUUUUCCAGAGCUUAAAAGAUAUAUGCACAUAUAGCUCGGUUCUGUUCCUGAGUAACCCAACUAUCGUAGAAUAUGUUUACACUACGGGAACUGAGAUAGCGAACAGGGCUAAAGUAAAUUGUAUCCAGAACAAUUGGGCAGUAAACGUUGUAAGUAUGCUUUGGUUUUUACUCUUUUAUUCAAUUGAUUGUUUUAAAGUUGGAAUGUAUCAGCAGGUGGAUGAUGAUCAAUGAUCAAACAUAUCAGAGAGUACAAAAGGUAUGCUAUAAUGAUGCUGACAGUUUUUUUUUAAUUCGAACUACUGAGAUUUUGUUUGCCUCUUGGCCCUUGAUCUUAAAAUUUAACCAAUAUUUGAGAAUAGGGAUUAGGUACCAGGCCAUUUCUACUGCUCAGCGAGAAGAAAUUUAUUGCCCUUCACCAGGUUACUUAGAACCAAAAUGGUUUCUGGAAUUGAAGGGGUUUUCUUCUCACCUUUUUCUUUAGGAAACAUUCAUCGUACUACUGUGAUUAUAGAUUAUAAACUUUUUGAAUGUCAGAGCUUCGCCUAAGUUUAUGCUUCUUUCAAUAGUGUUCUUUAAACAGCUUAUGAGCCAACAUCUGUAUAUGUGUGUAUGUGCUUGUGAUCAGCAUGUUGCUAUGAUUGUACACUUUUUCUACCUCUUGAAUCAACCAACGGAGAAACAAGUAUAACCAAGUCCUGCUCUUAGUAUAUUAGAGUUUUGGCUUAUUGUUUGGAGAUUUGAGAGUCUCUUUUUUUCUACGUGUAUUAAUCUAUAUUCUGCAGUAUUUUACUGUCUUUGCUUUCACUAAUGUAUAUAUUAAAUUAGUUAUAUAUGCAGAAGAAACAACAGAGAUUUUUUUUGACUAAUGAAACAACAGAGUAUUGUAGAGGCAAAAAAAACUACCAUAAGACCACAAACCAAAGGAAUCAUCUCAGCAGAGCGAGUGAAAAGCCACCAACAAAGAACACAAUUCAGAUUUCAUGAAAAAUAUUUUAUGAAGCCGAAGUGAACCAACCGUGGAAGAAGAACAAGAAAAAAGACUUGCUACUAACCGCACUAGACGGGAAUUGCGUCUACAUUGGAUGAAUCUUCACAUCUCAACACAAUGCCUUCAAGACUUGCAGGGAACGUGCACUAUCAUCAACACGCUUUCGUUUCUCUGUACCACUCCAAUGACACUCACUGUGCUUCCUUCUUUGAUAUACCUGCAAAGUAAAACAAGUAUCAGAGAGAGACCCAAUAGAUUUUGAGCAACUUUUUUAAGGUUCUUGAAUCGUUUUCAUACCCUUCUUUCAGCCGCAUCACUCUUUCAUCAUUAGAUAGAUUCUUCCAUUAAUAUCUUUUUAAGGUUCUUUGAAUCGUUUUUUAAGAAUUUUUAAGCAGUCAAGAAACAAUAGCAUGCUGUCUUGUGCAUAGAAUGAUGACCAAAUUUCCCAUUUUUAAGUAGUCACUUCCCUCCAGUCAAAAAAACAAAUCCCAAGUUUCUUAGAAAGCAGCACAUUAUUUUCUAUUAGCAAAACACCACGAAUUCCGUCAAUAAAUAUUAGCAUCUUGCUUUUUUCAUAAGAUAUUAAGAUGAAUAAUUCAUAAGUCACAAGUUAUACCUACUAAUAAAUAAUUAAAAUUUAUAAAACUUAAAAAUCUGCAAAAUUUAUUAUAGAUGACACGCUACUAUUUUACAUAAAUGUAUCAUUUAUUAUAGAUUUUAAAUAACUAUAAAUUCAUAGCAAUUCAACAAAUUCAAUUAAUUUUCUUAAAAAUUAUAAUUCAUAAUUUUCAACUAAUAUUUCUUUAUAUUAAUUAAUGUAAAAUGACACCGUAAUGUUUUACAUAAAUGUAUCAUUUUAUCAUAGAUUUUAAAUAACUAUAAAUUAAUAUUUCUAUUAAUUUUCCUGAAAAAGAAAAAUUAGAAAAAUAAUAUUUAGUAGAGAAUCUAUACUAUACUAAAAGGAAGAUAUCCUCAUCAUAUAGCUAUGCCACGUAUUACAAAAUAAUCAACCAAUCAUAUUCUGUUUUUUACACAUGUGGGCUUCGUCCUGCUUCUGCUAUUCACGUUUGGGCCUGAACUUUUUUUUCCAAAUUAACAAACGAACUUGGCAUCUUCCUCUCUACCCUUUCGUUUUCUCCGAUUGAAAAACCUGAAGAAUGAGUUCAGAUCUAUGCUUUACGUCAAUCAAUUUCUCCUUUAUAAUAAACUUUAAGCAUGUCAAUAUUUUGUUUCGUUUUCUUUGUUUCAAUCAUCCAUUGAUAGUUUCGUUUCGUUUUCUUUGUUUCGUCCCUAUUUAUACAAAGAUGCCUUUUCAUUUUAGAAACCCUAAUCGAAAACUCACUCUCCUCAACGAAACACUAUGUCGACAAAGCCAAACGGCAAAUCGAUCAUCUCCUCCUCCGACGGCAACGGCGAGUCGAAAACCGGAUCUAAUCCCGUUCAAUCCACCGUGGUUAAAGCGAACGGCAAGACGCAUGUUUCCUCCGAUGACAAUCGCGAACUAAUGCUCUUCAACGAAGUAUCCUUGGGUCCUCAGGAAACCAAUUUACGGUUUCGUCUGGUUCACUUCUGGGAGGCUCGAAACCCACUGCAAAAGACUCUGAUCGGUCUUGAGAUGCUUCUCAUCGACGAACAGGAGACCGUUAUUCAAGGCUUUGUCCCACCAGGAAGAAUCAAAAAAUUCAUGCCACAUAUGAGACAAGGCGGUCUGGUCUCUACACUCUCACCAGCUUCUACGGAUCCAGAAACAAAGAGGUGUUCCGGGUUGCUGCUCACAGCGUGACAAUCUCCUUCUCCCACACUUCCGAGUUGGUGCCCCUUGAGAACAUCCCGUGGACUUCGAGGAGGACCGUUUCCGGUUCCAUUCCUAUGAAGACUUCGAAGCUGGCUGUGAUAUGAAAAGUGAUCUUUACGAUGUUAUUGGACACUUGAAACUGGUUAACGGCUAGAGCCUCAAUAUGCGUCCCUUCAUUGACGAUGCCGAGCUCGCAACCACUCGGCGUAUAUUGGUGCAUGUGCAGUCGCAUGCGU